rnacentral:lncRNA from 1 species
CUCGUGCGGAGGAAGAUCCAGGCGUCGGACGGGACUGGCUUCGAGCUCCAGGCGGCGCGGCAUCGUCGCGGCGAGCUUCGUGGGGAGACCGCUGAAGCGGCUGUGGCGAACACACGGUGGCGGAAGCCUCGCGGAUGGAAGUUACAGAGGAGGAGCAGCGAUUUGGGGAAGAUGAUGAACAGUAGGGGUCAAAUCACCUCUUUACUUUUCUCCUCUCUCUCUCUCUCUCUCUCUCUCACGUCACUCUCCCUCUUCCUUCGCUUUUCUGCGAAAGCUUUUUGCUUUUUUCUUUUUCUCUUCUUUCCUUUUAACCUCCACGGAUGGCUUCUCUCC